GGAUUUUUGUCCAACGCUGGUUUCCGUUUCUGCGGUGUUGCGCUGAUUAGCUUAGCCUACAAAAAUAAAAUAAAAAACGAAUUAACCCGAAAUCAACAUUAAUCAUGAAUGAACAUAUGAAAGAUUGACUGAUAUAAAAAUCAAGUUUCACACGGAAAACAUUACACUGAUGCUUACUGUGUAAACAUGACAGAAGUUCAAAGUGUCUCCUGGGAUGGAUGAGUUUCGUUCCUGGUCGCGAUGAGUAGCCAUUUACCGCCCGAUCUGUGCUCCUUAAGACUUUCUCUCUUCCUGUCUCCUGAAACCGAAUUUGCCUCAUUUCAGUCACCUCAAAGCAGACUUGCCCGGCUGAGGAACACAUACCUUAGAUACUGAACAUCCAAUACGUCGGAGUGAUCUUUAAGCAAGACAACUCGGACCAGUGGAGAGUUACUGCAGGAGAUGGACAAAUUAGCCCACACCUCCAUUCCUGAGCAGGGCUAUUGUAUAUCGCCGCAGUCUCUUUGCUGGAGUGGAGGGACAUGCACAAUGAGCCCAACUUUAUUGCCAAGUCUCCCUCGUCCCGCUUUAAAAGCGAAUACGCCCUGCUGUUUUGGGGGAGAUUUCGAGAUCGGCCGUAAUUGCUCUUGAUAAACUUUCAUUUUAAGUCCACCUAUAGUUGCAUAGGUUAGGCCAGGCUUUUGAGUCUUGAGAAUUAAUUGAAGGCCAAACGCAUUAAUUAAAAAUAAAUCAACAAAUGUACCAAAC